CGGCGGACGGGUGAGUAACACGUGGAUAACCUACCUAUAAGACUGGGAUAACUUCGGGAAACCGGAGCUAAUACCGGAUAAUAUUUUGAACCGCAUGGUUCAAAAGUGAAAGACGGUCUUGCUGUCACUUAUAGAUGGAUCCGCGCUGCAUUAGCUAGUUGGUAAGGUAACGGCUUACCAAGGCAACGAUGCAUAGCCGACCUGAGAGGGUGAUCGGCCACACUGGAACUGAGACACGGUCCAGACUCCUACGGGAGGCAGCAGUAGGGAAUCUUCCGCAAUGGGCGAAAGCCUGACGGAGCAACGCCGCGUGAGUGAUGAAGGUCUUCGGAUCGUAAAACUCUGUUAUUAGGGAAGAACAUAUGUGUAAGUAACUGUGCACAUCUUGACGGUACCUAAUCAGAAAGCCACGGCUAACUACGUGCCAGCAGCCGCGGUAAUACGUAGGUGGCAAGCGUUAUCCGGAAUUAUUGGGCGUAAAGCGCGCGUAGGCGGUUUUUUAAGUCUGAUGUGAAAGCCCACGGCUCAACCGUGGAGGGUCAUUGGAAACUGGAAAACUUGAGUGCAGAAGAGGAAAGUGGAAUUCCAUGUGUAGCGGUGAAAUGCGCAGAGAUAUGGAGGAACACCAGUGGCGAAGGCGACUUUCUGGUCUGUAACUGACGCUGAUGUGCGAAAGCGUGGGGAUCAAACAGGAUUAGAUACCCUGGUAGUCCACGCCGUAAACGA
rnacentral:rRNA from 1 species